AUGAACGCUAGCUACAGGCUUAACACAUGCAAGUCGAGGGGCAGCAUUUUAGUUUGCUUGCAAACUAAAGAUGGCGACCGGCGCACGGGUGAGUAACACGUAUCCAACCUGCCGAUAACUCGGGGAUAGCCUUUCGAAAGAAAGAUUAAUAUCCGAUAGUAUAUUAAAACCGCAUGGUUUUACUAUUAAAGAAUUUCGGUUAUCGAUGGGGAUGCGUUCCAUUAGUUUGUUGGCGGGGUAACGGCCCACCAAGACUACGAUGGAUAGGGGUUCUGAGAGGAAGGUCCCCCACAUUGGAACUGAGACACGGUCCAAACUCCUACGGGAGGCAGCAGUGAGGAAUAUUGGUCAAUGGACGAGAGUCUGAACCAGCCAAGUAGCGUGAAGGAUGACUGCCCUAUGGGUUGUAAACUUCUUUUAUAUGGGAAUAAAGUAUUCCACGUGUGGAAUUUUGUAUGUACCAUAUGAAUAAGGAUCGGCUAACUCCGUGCCAGCAGCCGCGGUAAUACGGAGGAUCCGAGCGUUAUCCGGAUUUAUUGGGUUUAAAGGGAGCGUAGGUGGAUUGUUAAGUCAGUUGUGAAAGUUUGCGGCUCAACCGUAAAAUUGCAGUUGAAACUGGCAGUCUUGAGUACAGUAGAGGUGGGCGGAAUUCGUGGUGUAGCGGUGAAAUGCUUAGAUAUCACGAAGAACUCCGAUUGCGAAGGCAGCUCACUAGACUGCAACUGACACUGAUGCUCGAAAGUGUGGGUAUCAAACAGGAUUAGAUACCCUGGUAGUCCACACAGUAAACGAUGAAUACUCGCUGUUUGCGAUAUACAGUAAGCGGCCAAGCGAAAGCGUUAAGUAUUCCACCUGGGGAGUACGCCGGCAACGGUGAAACUCAAAGGAAUUGACGGGGGCCCGCACAAGCGGAGGAACAUGUGGUUUAAUUCGAUGAUACGCGAGGAACCUUACCCGGGCUUAAAUUGCAUUUGAAUAAUCUGGAAACAGGUUAGCCGCAAGGCAAAUGUGAAGGUGCUGCAUGGUUGUCGUCAGCUCGUGCCGUGAGGUGUCGGCUUAAGUGCCAUAACGAGCGCAACCCUUAUCUUUAGUUACUAACAGGUCAUGCUGAGGACUCUAGAGAGACUGCCGUCGUAAGAUGUGAGGAAGGUGGGGAUGACGUCAAAUCAGCACGGCCCUUACGUCCGGGGCUACACACGUGUUACAAUGGGGGGUACAGAAGGCAGCUACCUGGCGACAGGAUGCUAAUCCCAAAAACCUCUCUCAGUUCGGAUCGAAGUCUGCAACCCGACUUCGUGAAGCUGGAUUCGCUAGUAAUCGCGCAUCAGCCAUGGCGCGGUGAAUACGUUCCCGGGCCUUGUACACACCGCCCGUCAAGCCAUGAAAGCCGGGGGUACCUGAAGUACGUAACCGCAAGGAGCGUCCUAGGGUAAAACUGGUAAUUGGGGCU
rnacentral:rRNA from 1 species